CCUACGGGUGGCAGCAGUGAGUAAUAUUGGUCAAUGGACGAGAGUCUGAACCAGCCAAGUAGCGUGAAGGAUGACUGCCCGAUGGGUUGUAAACUUCGUUUAUAUGGGAAUAAAAUGUUCCACGUGUGGGAUUUUGUAUGUACCAUAUGAAUAAGGAUCGGCUAACUCCGUGCCAGCAGCCGCGGUAAUACGGAGGAUCCGAGCGUUAUCCGGAUUUAUUGGGUUUAAAGGGAGCGUAGGUGGAUUGUUAAGUCAGUUGUGAAAGUUUGCGGCUCAACCGUAAAAUUGCAGUUGAAACUGGCAGUCUUGAGUACAGUAGAGGUGGGCGGAAUUCGUGGUGUAGCGGUGAAAUGCUUAGAUAUCACGAAGAACUCCGAUUGCGAAGGCAGUUCACUGGACUGCAACUGACACUGAGGCUCGAAAGUGUGGGUAUCAAACAGGAUUAGAUACCCUUGUAGUC
rnacentral:rRNA from 1 species